rnacentral:rRNA from 1 species
GACGAACGCUGGCGGCGUGCCUAACACAUGCAAGUCGAGCGAGGUUGCGGAUGGGUGCUUGCACCCUGAAGCUACCUAGCGGCGGACGGGUGAGUAACGCGUGAGUAACCUGCCUUAUACAGGGGGAUAACAACGAGAAAUCGUUGCUAAUACCGCAUAAGACCACGGUAUCGCAUGGUACAGGGGUAAAAGGAGCAAUCCGGUAUAAGAUGGACUCGCGUCCCAUUAGCUAGUUGGUGAGAUAACAGCCCACCAAGGCAACGAUGGGUAGCCGACCUGAGAGGGUGAUCGGCCACACUGGGACUGAGACACGGCCCAGACUCCUACGGGAGGCAGCAGUGGGGAAUAUUGGGCAAUGGGCGAAAGCCUGACCCAGCAACGCCGCGUGAAGGAGAAGGUCUUCGGAUUGUAAACUUCUGUCGUCAGGGACGAAAAGGACGGUACCUGGCAAGAAAGCCCGGCUAACUACGUG